rnacentral:rRNA from 1 species
AGGCUUUGAUCCUGGCUCAGGAUGAACGCUGGCGGUAUGCUUAACACAUGCAAGUCGAACGGUCUCUUCGGAGAUAGUGGCGGACGGGUGAGUAACGCGUGAGAAUCUGGCUCUAGGUCUGGGACAACAGAUGGAAACGUCUGCUAAUACCGGAUGUGCCGAGAGGUGAAAGGCUAGCUGCCUGGAGAUGAGCUCGCGUCAGAUUAGCUAGUAGGUGGGGUAAAGGCCUACCUAGGCGACGAUCUGUAGCUGGUCUGAGAGGACGAUCAGCCACACUGGGACUGAGACACGGCCCAGACUCCUACGGGAGGCAGCAGUGGGGAAUUUUCCGCAAUGGGCGAAAGCCUGACGGAGCAAUACCGCGUGAGGGAGGAAGGCUCUUGGGUUGUAAACCUCUUUUCUCAAGGAAUAAGAAUGAAGGUACUUGAGGAAUAAGCAUCGGCUACAUCCGU